GUUGUAUCAUUGCCAGUUUAUCAUUAAUUAAUUAAUUCACUCUCUUGUCUUGUCUUUGUGUUCUAACUCCCAAUUAUUUCAUCUUCAUCUUCAUCUUCAUCUUCAUCUUCUUCACUUUCAGAUCCAUCAAGUUCAAAUUCAAAUUCUAUUCCAAAUCCAAAUCUUCCUCGCAUAUGCAUAUUCUUCAAAAUCUGCAUAUCAGGUUUAAUUGUUCAAUAUACAUACAUAUAUAUAUAUAUAAUUGCUUUCUUUUUUCUCUGGAUUAGUACAUCAUUUUAAUUAUUUCGUUAGAAAUAUCUUAUCUUUAUCUUAUCAACUGGGAUUUGCAAGAAACUAAUGAUACAAUAUUAUUGAGCAAUAUUUUGGUCGCUGCUAUCUUUGAGUUUAUUGAAGUGUUCUUGUGUUCAGCCUCUUGUUGGAGUAUAUCUUCUGUAGAAUUAUUGUCUCCUUAUUUCUCUCUACUUGGUAUUUCUGUGAUGUUCCAAUUAUGUUCAACUCUUCCAGAUAUUAUUAUAUGUAUUCUGAGAUGUCACUUCUGAUAAAGCUGGUAUUCAAUCUGUGUUGCUAAGACCAUUCACUCACAUCUUCCUCAGAAAGUAGAUUGGAGGCGAUAGAUCGAAGAAUCAUAUUAGGCUUAAAUAUAUGGAUGCUGCUGUGGGAGCUUUGAUUACUCCAGCUGCAGAGGAAAUUGGCAACAAGUUCGUUUCCUUCGUUAAAAAGCAGUUCAACUAUUUAUGCUGCUUCAAACAGAAUGUUGAGAAAUUCAGGGAAAAAUCCAAAGAGUUGAAAAAUGAAAAAGAUGAUUUGCAAAAAAGAGUCGACCAAGAGAGAAAUAAUACGCAUCAGAUUCUUCAAAAGGUCUCUGACUGGAUUGGAGAGGCUAGCAAGAUUGAGAAUGACCCUGGUGAAAUUCAAGAAGGAAGUUCCCACUUGAAUGAUGGAUGCUGCACGAUUCGAUCACAUUAUGAAAUGAGUCGGAGAGCUGUAAAGGCUACUGAAAAAAUAGAAAAGCUUCUACAACGGUGUAGAGAUUUGGGAGAUCAUAUAUCGGUGCCUGGACUUCCGGCAGCACAGGCUUCUGUUCCACCUGGAGAAGCCCUUGAAUUUUCAUCUAGGAAAGAUAUAGAAAAAGGUGUCAUAAGAGCUUUUAAGGAUGAGAAUGUUCAUUUGAUUGGGAUAUGCGGUAUGGGUGGUGUGGGGAAGACUACUUUGGCCAAAAAAGUUCAAUAUAUAGCAAAGGAGGAAUUGGGUUUAUUGGAAGAAGCUGUGAUGGUUGUUCUCGGUCAAAAUGUUGAUCUGAAGAAAAUUCAACUCGAGAUUGCUGAAUGCUUGGGUUUGAAUGAGAUUAAGGAUGUCGAAUCAUACCAAGCUAGAGCACAUAAACUACGUGAGAGACUAAGAGGCACAAGACGGACCCUCCUAAUUCUGGAUGAUAUUUGGGAAAGUAUCAACUUGGAGGAAUUAGGAAUUCCUUGUAAAAGCGAGUCCGAAGGCUGCUCUGUUUUAAUAACUACUCGGAACAGAGAUCUGUUGAAAGAAAUGGAUGUUCAGAUUGUUGCAAUGGAAACCUUGUCUGAAGAGGAAGCGUGGUCCCUCUUUCAAGCGAAAGCUGGAGAUUGCGUGAAUAACUCAGAUACACAGCCUAUAGCCAAAGAAGUAGUGAAAGAGUGCGAAGGUUUGCCGCUUGCAAUUAUAAAUGUCGGCAUGGCGAUGAAAGACGAAAAUAACUGUGACAAAUGGGAGAGAGCAUUGGAUCGACUAAAAUGUCCCACGUCACCCAAAAUUGAUAAAACUUUAAGAAAAAUUUAUAACCCAUUGAGGCUAAGUUAUGAUUACUUGGAAGAUGACGAUAGCAAAUCCUUGUUGCAGCUCAGCAGUCAAUUUCCUGAGGAUUUUAAUAUUAGCCUCGAGGACCUAAUCUUAUGCAGCUUUGGGUUAUGGAUGUGGGAAGAAGGUUGUAAUUUGAUAAAAGCAAGAAGUAGAGUUUAUGAUUCAAUUGAUAAGCUUAAAAGUAAUUUCUUGCUGAUGGAUGGAGACAGGAAUAACACUGUCAAAAUGCAUGAUGUGGUUCGUGAUGUGGUUAGAUUCAUCGCAUCUGAAGAUGGCUUGGUCGAUUUGCAGCAUGAGUCGAGGGGAUAUUAUUCUACCAGUUGCAAAUGGAUAUUGGAAUUUCCAGAAAAGGAUAGUGAUUUUCUUAAAUACCUUUUGGGGCCUAAUUUUCCAAGUCUUCAGCUUUUGCUCCUACAAAAAGGAGGAUGGUGGGACUCAAUUUUCAAUGAGCAAUUGGUUGACUUCCCAGAUGUGAGUUACUUUAUGUUACGUGGUCAGUCAGAGGCUUUAGAGAUAAGCGACUUUUCCUUUAUGGAGACAAUGAAAGAGCUUCGCGUGUUGUCUUUCAAAGAAAUAUCGUGCAAAUCACUGCCACAAGCAAUUUUGUUGCUGAAAAAUCUUCGGACAUUGCGGCUAAACAAUUGCCCAUUGGAAAACAUUGAUGUUGUUGGCACGUUGUUAAGUCUUGAAAUAUUGAGUUGUGUUUGCUGUCCAAAUAUUCAUGAGAUACCUCUUGUUAUAAGGGAGUUGAAGAAGCUGAGGUUGUUAGAAUUUUCCUACUCCUCAGGUCUCAAAAGAGUAUCUCCUGGAAUCAUAUCAAACUUAACUGCAUUAGAGGAAUUGAAGAUGUCACAUAGUUUCAAGGGAUGGGAAUCAACAAAGCUCGAUGAAACGAAGAGAAAAAAUGCCACUCUCAAAGAGCUUGAGUCAUUACGCAAGCUAACAUGCCUCGAGAUUCAAAUUGAGGAUGUUAGUGCGCUCGAGGAGGAGAUUCAGCUUCCAUGUGUAAAGAGGUUUAAAGUUUUAUUUGGAGAAGAGGUUCGUAGGAUUCAUAUUGCAGAGAAAGCUUUGAUUUUGCAGGGAUUAUCAAAAGAGAACAUUCAUAUUCCAAAUUGGAUCAUUGGACUUGCAAGGAAUAGUGAUGUGCUAUGUUUAGAAGGAGAUGGUUCGAUAAACUUUCAUCUUUCACAAGUCCAUAACACUAUUAAGUCUUUGGAAGUUCGGGAAUGUGGAAUGCUCAAGUCAUUGGUAAAUGCAACCACGGCGGCAGCGACAUCAACUGAUUGUAGGAGCUUUGGAUUUUUCAGAGAAUUAAAGUCGAUGGAACUUUAUAAUCUUCAGAGCAUGAAAGAGUUAUGUGAUGGACCAAUAUUAGAGGGAUCAAUUUCUUUUAAUAAUUUGAGAGAAAUGUAUCUUGUAAGAUUGCCAUCACUUGAAAAAUUGUGGAGUCCAAAUCAACAUGUUAUGCUCAACAACUUGUUACGGGUAUAUUUGGAAGGAUGCAAUGAGCUACAAAAUCUCUUCUCUUUUGAAAGUACCAAAGACUUCCCCUCAAAUCUUGAAAAGAUCCAAAUCUGGAAUUGCAAGAAGAUGAAACAAGUGUUUGUUAAUGGACACACAAGUCAUGUUCUUAUCCCAAAAUUGAAGAUGCUAGAACUAUCCAACUUACCAAAUCUUACUAGUUUUAGCAAAGCAGCGGCUAGCAUUGAGUUUCCAGUGUUGGAGGUGUUGAUUAUAGAGAAAUGUCCAAAAUUUGUAAAUUUUGUGGAAAGCAGUGAGAAGAAAGAGGAAGGAAACACCGACGAGAAUAGCCCAAUUACUCUUUACCUAUUUGAUCUCGAGAAGGUUAAACUCGGUAGAUUGGAAAAGUUAACCAUAUUUAAUUGCAACAAUAUCAAAACCUUGUGUACAAUUUCAGGAAUUGAUCAUUUUGUCAAUCUCAAAGAAUUGUGGAUUAAAGAUUGCAAAUUCAUGGAACAAGUGAUAGCAAUUAAGAAAAUGAGAUGUGAAAGUUUGAUUGUAAAAGAUGAGGUGAUGGAAGGACUUCUAAAAAAGAAUGAGAAUGAAGAUGAUGAGAUAACAAACUACAUUGUUUUUCCGAAAUUGGAGCAUCUAUGGCUUCAAGAACUAUCAAGUCUAACUAGCUUUGGGAAAGGGAUUGAAAGCAUUGAAUUCCCUAUGCUAGCCGAAUUGGAAAUUGUAGAUUGUUCGAAUCUCAUGAGCAUUAUUUGUUCCAUGGAAUCCGAUAAAAAAUGUCACCAUGAGGAUGAUGAAGAUGAAGAUGAAUCCCUUCACUUAUUCUGCAACCAAAAGGUUAAAAUUGACAGAUUGAAGGAGUUGCGAAUUUCGGGAUAUGGAGACAUGAGCAAUAUUUGGUGCCGGCAUAUUCCUCAGUCUUUCUUUAUAUCAUUAGAGAAAUUGGGGAUAAGUAGAUGUCACAACAUCAAGAGUUUAUUUUCUUCUGCAAUUGUUGGGCACCUUGUCAACAUUGAAGAAUUAUACAUUGAAGAUUGCAAGAAAAUGGAAGUAGUCAUUUCUGGCGACAAAAAGAUGAAUGAUAGUUCAACGCCACUUCCAAGGUUGGCUGAAUUAAGACUUACAGGCCUGCCAAUUCUGGGGAUGAUUUGUGAAUGGAGAUUAGAUAUUGAGUUGCCAUUGUUGGAAAGAUUAUGGAUAAGUAACUGCUCACAAAUGGAGUCUUUGUCGCUUGAAUCUUGGACCGCACCAAAGUUGAUGACUGCGGUAGUAGACUACAGGGAGUUUGAAAACUUGAAAGGAGUGAAAGAUUAAAAUAUUUUUCUAUGCCCACAUACUAUGUCCGCAAGCGUAGAGGAAUCAAAUUUAUUACAUGGACUGGAGGUCGUAGAGAUUGAAGAAGUUUGAAUAACGAAAAGGUACCGUUAAAUGGCCAUAUUUUAGUUUCACUGGCGAUUAGAGGAGGCAAUGGAGGGAGGGCAGCUGAGAAGGAGCAGAAUGUGAUGAAAACACUCACUCCAGCUAGCAAUCCUACUUGUAUUUGAUGAACAUUCUCACUUAAAAUCGAUCUCUUUCCCAUUUUGCUUUGGAACAUUUUUUCCAUUAAAUAAGUUUUCUUGACUCAUAAUUUUGGGAGUUUGAUGGAACAUUGAACACUUGGGUGUAUUAGGGUUUUAUGAUACUUUUCAACUCUUCUUUUAUAAUAUAUUUUUGUGUGUUC